AUCGUGUUUCGGAAGAUCAGCGACGUGAAGCGGGAGGAGGAGGAGCGCAUGAAACGCAAGAACGAGGCCCCCCUGAUCCUGCCCCCGGACCACCCUGUCCGGAGACUCUUCCAGAGGUUCCGGCAGCAGAAAGAGGCCAGGCUGGCGGCCGAGAGGGGCGGCCGGGACCCGGACGAGCCAGACGUGGAGAAGGGCAGUGUCCUCGCCGAGCGCGCCUCGGCCAACCACAGCCUCGUGAAGGCCAGCGUGGUCACGGUCCGGGAGAGCCCCGCCACGCCCGUGUCCCUGCAGGCCUGUCCCCCGGGGGCGGGGGCGCCCGACCUGGCCAAGCUGCACGCGCCCGGGUCCGAGUGCCUGGGCCCCAGGGGCAGCGACUGCGCCAAGCGCAAGGGCUGGGCCCGCUUCAAGGACGCUUGCGGGAAGGGCGAGGACUGGAACAAGGUGUCCAAGGCCGAGUCCAUGGAGACGCUCCCCGAGAGGACCAAGGCGUCAGGGGAGGCCACGCUGAAGAAGACAGAUUCUUGCGACAGCGGCAUCACCAAGAGCGACCUGCGCCUGGACAACGCGGGCGAGGCCCGGAGCCCCCAGGACCGGAGCCCCAUCCUGGCCGAGGUCAAGCACGCCUUCUACCCGAUCCCCGAGCAGACGCUGCAGGCCGCCCUCCUGGAGGUGAAGCUCGAGCUGAAGGAGGACAUCAAGGCCUUGCACAGCAAAAUGACCAACGUCGAGAAGCAGCUCUCGGAGAUACUCAGGAUAUUAACUUCCAGAAGGGCCUCUCAGUCUCCCCAGGAGCUGUUCGAAAUAUCCGGGCCCCAGUCCCCGGAAUCCGAGAGAGACGUCUUCGGAUCGAGCUGAGAGGUCUGUCAGUAAAAAGUCAGAGACAAA